CAUAUGCUUGUCCCGCUUUAUGCCUGUGCACGUGUAUGCGUAACGACAACAGAGAGGGUGUGCGUGUAUGUAUAUAUGUGUGUUUAUCGUGUCUAUGUUAUGUUUUGACGUCUUUCUCUGACACGCAGGCGUCAUCGGCCCCCACGGGGAGAUGGGUGCCGAGUACGGCCUACGUACGCCACGUCAGUCGGGCAGCCGCGGCGCCCCUCCGGAGAAGGAAGGGGUGGCGGUGGCGGCGGCGGCGGGGAAAGUCGGGCGUCGGUCGGCUCAAGGUGAGCUGGGGGUGUGGCGGGGCCCCCCGUGUGGCGGUCGUGAUGGCGGCUAGCUAGCUCGGUUGCCGCGUGUGUUAUGGUUUAGCUGUGUAAAUAUGUAUGUAUGCAUGCAUGUAUGUAUGCAUGUAUGUAUGUACCACUUCCACGUGCAAGGAACGUGAGUGCGACAGGGGGCCCCCUGUGGGCGCCGGGAGGCGGGAAGAGGGGGAAUGUGGUUGUGAGGUUGGUGCAGAAAACCGCAUACACAACUACACGUGACACUCGAUACUCGGCAUGUCCCGGAAACUGCUCUCCACCCGCCACAUAACUCCACCAGGACUAAUACCCGCCGGCAGCACCUUUGCACCCACCAUCCCUCCUCCCUCUCGCCCAACUCCAACCGCCGCUACGCCCUUACAAAACCCUUUUUUUCCACGCGCACACAAACUCAACCAACGUCUCGCUCCACGUCGGCAAUAGAACAGCACAACGCCCACCGCAACCGGACAUAAGGACACCGCCUGCCACUACCAGCGAGGCGUCCGCGGN
rnacentral:lncRNA from 1 species